rnacentral:piRNA from 1 species
UGCCCCGCCUCUGACUGGACGUCCCUUCC